rnacentral:rRNA from 1 species
AUUGAACGCUGGCGGAAUGCUUUACACAUGCAAGUCGAGCGGCAGCACGGGGGCAACCCUGGUGGCGAGCGGCGAACGGGUGAGCAAUACAUCGGAACAUGCCCAGUCGUGGGGGAUAACACUUCGAAAGAAGUGCUAAUACCGCAUACGUCCUGAGGGGGAAAGCGGGGGAUCGCAAGACCUCGCGCGAUUGGAGUGGCCGAUGUCAGAUUAGCUAGUUGGUGGGGUAAAGGCCUACCAAGGCAACGAUCUGUAGCUGGUCUGAGAGGAUGAUCAGCCACACUGGGACUGAGACACGGCCCAGACUCCUACGGGGGGCAGCAGUGGGGAAUUUUGGACAAUGGGGGCAACCCUGAUCCAGCCAUUCCGCGUGAGUGAAGAAGGCCUUCGGGUUGUAAAGCUCUUUCGGCAGGAACGAAACGGUGAGCUCUAACAUAGCUUGCUAAUGACGGUACCUGAAGAAGAAGCACCGGCUAACUACGUG